UACGGGGGGGGCAAGCGUUGUUCGGAAUUACUGGGCGUAAAGGGCUCGUAGGUGGCCAACUAAGUCAGACGUGAAAUCCCUCAGCUUAACUGGGGAACUGCGUCUGAUACUGGAUGGCUUGAGUUUGGGAGAGGGAUGCGGAAUUCCGGGUGUAGCGGUGGAAUGCGUAGAGAUCCGGAAGAACACCGGUGGCGAAGGCGGCCCGCUGGGCAGUGACUGACGUUGAGGCGCGACAGCGUGGGGAGCAAACAGG
rnacentral:rRNA from 1 species